rnacentral:lncRNA from 1 species
AUGCCAGGAAUUCAGUAUGCAAAGCCUGUGUUCUACCCCACAACUAUGGUUCUUUCCCUGUUUGGGAGGAGGGGUAUGGUCCUUGAACUGAUCUUUGUGGUAUGUCUAUUCAGUGACUCCAUGGAGACUUCAGAAGACGACAGCAAAGAGCAAGCUCUUGUUGCUGAGCAGGAGUCUAAUGAUGCAGUUUCGCACACAUGUGGGGAUCCCCAGAGCAUUUCUGAAAACAAAAUGGUAGAAACCUUGACAGCUUGCAUCAAAGAGAUCCUGCUAUACUUUUUACCCAAAUGCAAUCUUACAAGAGAACAUCUUUCUUCUAUGACCCCUGAAGACAUUUUAUCUAUGUUCAAGCUGAACAGGGAUUCUGAGCGGAGUAAGGCUGUGCCUGUGGACAUAAUUCAGUAUUUUUCGCAAUAUGAUGAACAACUUUUUGAAAAACUCCUGUCUAUAAAGCAGCAUGGGCUUCUAGCCAAACAUGCUGCCGAAAAAAAGAUUAGUCUGUGCGGGACGCAAAUAAAAGCGACAGAAGAACGAAUUAAGCAUCUGCAGGAGAAAGUGGCACAAUUUCUACUGCGCAUCCAUCCACAUCUUCAAAUAGAUAACCAGGAAGACCUUGACAGCAUCCUAGAAAAGGCUCUGAAAGAAGACAGACGUGAGAGCAAGGGUCCCUGUGAACAGUUAACACAACAAAAUUAAGCUGAACUUUCUUUGUUCCAUGAAGAAAUUGGGAAGGGUCUUAGCACUUGAUAAUGUAUGGCCAAAAAUAUAAAUAGAUAGCAAACAAGCCACACAGGACACAAUCUUCCUUGAAACCUUAAAUAUUACAGCAGAGCUUGCAGAGAAAAUGAUAUGGAUGGUGUCAUCCUAAGUAUGUUUUGUUCUUUGCCUACCAUAUUUUGGUGGUGUUGCAUCCAGCCCUGCUUGCACUGCUGCUGUGUAGUUUCUCUUCAUUUCAGUGGAACACGCCACACAAAUGUGUGGACAUGGUUCAGCCAAAUGGGUCCUUGUGAAUAUUAUGUAGUGGGGGGGACGGGACACCCUGAAACAUUUGUUGUUGCUUUAAAAGUGAUUUCUGUUUGUUUGGAAAUAAUAACCUCACUAAACGUAAUAUGUUAACUUCUAUCAAUGUAAAUAGUGGGCAUUUUUUGGGUUUGUUCCCCCCCCCCACAGGGAUUAAAGCUUUUCGUUUCAACGUAUUCAUGAUACAAAUCACCUUGCAUAAUAAAGGAAGAUAAUUUGCAGUUUGCUCAACUUGCCAAGUGUUACAGAUUGAAGUUAAUUGAUGUGUAUUUAUACAACUUGAAACAUUUAAUCCAUGGGGAUUAGUUUGAGUGCUUUCCUCCUGCAAUAACAGAUGCAGAUUUGGAUGUUAACCUAAUAUAUAUAUAUUUUUUAUUGCAAGCAAAAUGAUUGUUAGGAUGAGGUCCUUUUGGAUGCUGCACCCGAUUCAUCAUGCUCUCGUGCCAAGCAUUGAAGUUAUGUAAUUUUGAAGUUGCAG